AGGAGAGUGGAGAAAAAGAGCGGGCAGCACUUGAUGGCGUCUAGCUUCACUCGAAAGAGCUUCUAACAAAUUGCUUGAGAUGUGAGGUGGGGCCAUGGGACCUGCUGCUGCUGCUGCUGCUGCGGGGCAAAAAUCGAUGAGGAUAAA